UCAAGAAAAAUAAGAAAUUCCAUAUUCCUCCUGUGCUAUUACCUGCACUAGUCUCUUGAAACCAACUUGCCUGUGGAAAGAAUCCUAUCAGAAUCACUUCAGUGGCAUCUAACAGCUUCAUUUCCCUGCAUCCUGUUUCAAGAAAAAUAAGAAAUUCCAUAUUCCUCCUGUGCUAUUACCUGCACUAGUCUCUUGAAACCAACUUGCCUGUGGAAAGAAUCCUAUCAGAAUCACUUCAGUGGCAUCUAACAGCUUAAUUUCCCUGCAUCCUGUUUCAAGAAAAAUAAGAAAUUCCAUAUUCCUCCUGUGCUAUUACCUGCACUAGUCUCUUGAAACCAACUUGCCUGUGGAAAGAAUCCUAUCAGAAUCACUU